rnacentral:tRNA from 1 species
GGGUAUAUAGCUCAGGGGUAGAGCACUUGCUUAGUACACAGGAAGUCCUGGGUUGGAUCCCCAGGACCUCCA